AUUGAACGCUGGCGGAAUGCCUUACACAUGCAAGUCGAACGGCAGCACGGACUUCGGUCUGGUGGCGAGUGGCGAACGGGUGAGUAAUGUAUCGGAACGUGCCCAGUCGUGGGGGAUAACGUAGUGAAAAUUACGCUAAUACCGCAUACGAUCUAUGGAUGAAAGCGGGGGAUCGCAAGACCUCGCGCGAUUGGAGCGGCGGAUAUCCGAUUAGGUCGUUGGUGGGGUAAAGGCCCACCAAGCCAACGAUCUGUAGCUGGUCUGAGGGGACGACCAGCCACACUGGAACUGAGACACGGUCCAGACUCCUACGGGAGGCAGCAGUGGGGAAUUUUGGACAAUGGGCGAAAGCCUGAUCCAGCCAUUCCGCGUGCAGGAUGAAGGCCCUCGGGUUGUAAACUGCUUUUGUACAGAACGAAAAGGUUUCUACUAAUACUAGGAGCUCAUGACGGUACUGUAAGAAUAAGCACCGGCUAACUACGUGCCAGCCGCCGCCGUAA
rnacentral:rRNA from 1 species